rnacentral:rRNA from 1 species
CAGUAGCCGCGGUAAUACGUAGGGUGCGAGCGUUAAUCGGAAUUACUGGGCGUAAAGCGUGCGCAGGCGGUUCGUUAAGACAGAUGUGAAAUCCCCGGGCUUAACCUGGGAACUGCAUUUGUGACUGGCGAGCUAGAGUAUGGCAGAGGGGGGUAGAAUUCCACGUGUAGCAGUGAAAUGCGUAGAGAUGUGGAGGAAUACCGAUGGCGAAGGCAGCCCCCUGGGCCAAUACUGACGCUCAUGCACGAAAGCGUGGGGAGCAAACAGGAUUAGAUACCCUGGUAGUCCCUGUCUCUUAUAC